GACGAACGCUGGCGGCGUGCCUAAUACAUGCAAGUCGAGCGCAGGAAGCUCACGGAACUCUUCGGAGGGAAGUGAAGGGAAUGAGCGGCGGACGGGUGAGUAACACGUAAGGAACCUGCCCCAAGGAUUGGGAUAACUCCGAGAAAUCGGAGCUAAUACCGAAUAGUUCUUCAGACCGCAUGGUCUGUGAUGAUGAAAGGCGCUUCGGCGUCACCUUGGGAUGGCCUUGCGGUGCAUUAGCUAGUUGGUGGGGUAAUGGCCCACCAAGGCGACGAUGCAUAGCCGACCUGAGAGGGUGAUCGGCCACACUGGGACUGAGACACGGCCCAGACUCCUACGGGAGGCAGCAGUAGGGAAUCUUCCACAAUGGACGAAAGUCUGAUGGAGCAACGCCGCGUGAGUGAUGAAGGUUUUCGGAUCGUAAAACUCUGUUGUAGGGGAAGAACAGGUAUGAGAGGUAAUGCUCAUGCUAUGACGGUACCUUACGAGAAAGCCACGGCUAACUACGUGCCAGCAGCCGCAGUAACAC
rnacentral:rRNA from 1 species